UUCUCUCUCUCGCUGUUUCUGUCUGUUUCUGUCUCUGCUUUUCUCUCUGCCUCUUUGUUGCUCUCUGUUUGCCUUUUCUUUCUCCUUAAAACUGUCUCCUUUAUCAUUUCUCCCACUGACUCUUCCUGCCUCCAUCUCUACCUCUACACACCUCUCUCUUUUCUCUCUCUCUCCCCUCGCCCUCUUUUCCCCACCUCUACUCUCCCUCAUGUCUCUUCUCUUUCCCUCCUUCUCUCUGUCCCUCCAGGUGCGUCUCUUUGUCACCUCCUCUAUUCUGUCUCUGUCCCACCUACUUUCCUGUUUCUUGGUUAUAAUUCUUGGCAGCCUCUGGUGUCAGGAUGGCCUCUGACAGUUUGUAUGAAAAUCAGUGCUGGUGAUCCCAUAGAAACAAGAAUACCACUUCUUCCAUAUCUCCAGCAAAAACGCAUUUACCCCAGUCCCCCAGAAGUAAAUAAAAUUCUGUUUUGUCCAUAUCUGUAUCCAGGAGCUUUGUUUCACCCAGAUGUGUUAGACUCAAAAUGGGUUCUGUGUGACAAUAAUAAACACUAUAAUUUUAGGGAUUUACUGUGUAGCAGACCCUGUGCUGCAUAUUUAUUAUAAUCUUGUAUCCUCAACGUGUCUUUGAAUGUUUAGAACCAUACUGUACCCCUUCAAUAAAUGAGGAGAUUGUGGUUUAGAGAAAAAGUAAGUAUUGCAAUCUCAAAAACGAGAGAAUGAUCUCUGUUCAUUUCCAAGGCAAGCCAUUCAAUACCAUGGUAAUCCAAGUCUAUGCCCCGACCAGUAAUGCUCAAGAAGCUGAAGUUGA
rnacentral:lncRNA from 1 species